GGCAGCAAGGGAAGCUGAGGCAGCAGAAGCUGAAGCUGAAGCAGCACAAGUUUUUGCCAAAGCCGCAAUGAAGGCAUUCAAGUAUAGGACUCGCCAUCUAUUGAAUGCUGUUCUCAGCAAGUCUUCCUAAAGNUGAGUUCUUCAAAGGGAUGUGGGCAUGAAAAUAUGCAUCGGACUUUUCAGGUGCAGCUGUAUGAAACCCCUAAUGUGUACAUAACUGUAAAUGUGGUUUGUCUUCUCGCAAAUGCAAAAACUAUGAAGGCAUGUUCCUUUCGUUGGAAAUAUAUAGUUUUUUGUUUUUUACUUCAAAACUUUAUAAUGAGGGAAGAGUAGACAAUCAGAAAUAGAGCACUAGAUUGGCUAUUAUAUGCAUGUAUUUUUUACUUUAAAAUCACUCUUCCACUGGAU
rnacentral:misc_RNA from 1 species